GCGGGCGUGGUGGAAUUGGUAGACACAGCAGGUUUAGGUCCUGCCGCCGCAAGGUUUGGGGGUUCGAGUCCCUCCGCCCGCACCA
rnacentral:tRNA from 1 species